rnacentral:misc_RNA from 1 species
AGAAAGAAAGAAAGAAAGAAAAGAGGUGAAAGAGCAUUGCUAGUUAAAACUGAAAUGAUGAGGAUAAAGGACUGAAAAUUAAUUGAUCAGUAGAAAGAUGUUUGUUAACUUUUAGUAUUUUAUAUAGAACUAAGAAAAAAAUGUCUGGGUUUAGAAUAUCUAUAUCAAAUUAUAAGCUUGUGAACAAGUUUUGUUUGCUUGUUUUCAUUUCUUAACAAUGUGUGGUUACUUCAACUCACCACUGUAUUCUAAAACUCCUGUGUGAAAAAAUAUUUUGGCAUUGGUAUUUGGACAUCAAUAAGUAGCAAAAUCUAUGAUAAUUUCAGAAAAAAUGGAGUACAAGUAACAUAACAUAAUGCAAACUCAUAGGAUAUAACACUCGUAAAUCUCUAUGGGAAUGCUUUUU